rnacentral:rRNA from 1 species
GACAGAGGGGGCAAGCGUUGCUCGGAAUCACUGGGCGUAAAGGGCGCGUAGGCGGGAUGGCAAGUCGGUCGUGAAAUCCUUCGGCUCAACCGAAGAACGUCGGCCGAUACUGCCGUUCUUGAGGGAUGCAGAGGAGAUUGGAAUUCCCGGUGUAGAGGUGAAAUUCGUAGAUAUUCGCAAGAACACCAGUGGCGAAGGCGGCUCACUGGCCCGGUACUGACGCUGAGGCACGAAAGCGUGGGGAGCAAACAGG